GGCCAUAUAACUUUGAAGAACCGGUUUUCGUACGAUCGCCGAAGUUACGCAACAUUAAGCCUGAUCAGUAUCUAGAUGGGUGACCGUUUGGGAAUGCCAGCUGCCGUAU